rnacentral:misc_RNA from 1 species
GAUGAAGAACGUAGCGAAAUGCGAUAAGUAAUGUGAAUUGCAGAAUUCAGUGAAUCAUCGAAUCUUUGAACGCAUCUUGCGCUCCUUGGUAUUCUGAGGAGCAUGCCUGUUUGAGUGUCAUUAAAUUCUCAACUACACUGACUUUGAAUUGGUGUGGCUUGGAUUUGGGGGGAAAAUUGUUGUGGGCUUUUUGUAUAGUCUGCUCCCCUGAAAUUGAUUAGCGGUACCUUUGUGGAACUGUCUACAGGUGUGAUAAUUAUCUACAUCUUAGACAUCUGCUGGAAUGCUGCUUUCUAAACCUUACUUGUAUUGACAAUCUUGACCUAAAAUCAGGUAGGACUACCCGCUGAACUUAAGCAUAUCAAUAAGCGGAGGA